GGGCACAUGGUGUAGGGGUUAUCACAUUCGCUUUGCACUGGGUCUGACAUAGGGCAUGCGAAAGGUCUCCGGUUCAAUUCCGGAUGUGUCCA
rnacentral:tRNA from 1 species